GUACGGGAGGCAGCAGUAGGGAAUAUUGGGCAAUGGGCGAAAGCCUGACCCAGCAACGCCGCGUGCGCGAUGAAGGUCUUCGGAUCGUAAAGCGCUUUUCUGAGAGAUGAGAAAGGACAGUAUCUCAGGAAUAAGUCUCGGCUAACUACGUGCCAGCAGCCGCGGUAAAACGUAGGAGGCAAGCGUUAUCCGGAUUUACUGGGCGUAAAGCGUGUGCAGGUGGUUCGGUAAGUUGGAUGUGAAAGCUCCUGGCUCAACUAGGAGAGGUCGUUCAAUACUACCGGACUUGAGAGCAGUAGAGGGAGGUGGAAUUCCCGGUGUAGUGGUGAAAUGCGUAGAUAUCGGGAGGAACACCAGUGGCGAAAGCGGCCUCCUGGACUGUUUCUGACACUCAGACACGAAAGCUAGGGUAGCAAACGGGAUUAGAUACCCCGGU
rnacentral:rRNA from 1 species